AACCAUAGAAACCUGCGGAGUACCUGCGGAAGGAUCAUUAUUGAAUGAAUCUAGAGUCGGUUGUCGCUGGCCCUUUCAGGGGGGCAUGUGCACGCCUUCUCUUUCAUCCACACACCCCUGUGCACUUGUGAGACGCGGAGUGUGCUUUUUUAUAAGCCCUUCCGUCUGCUAAAUCACACAAACUCAUUGUAUUUAAACUGAAUGUAAUUGAUGUAACACAUCAUUAGAACUAACUUUUAA
rnacentral:misc_RNA from 1 species